rnacentral:lncRNA from 1 species
AUAAUGAGUUUAGGUAACAAAUCCACGCUCAAACUAUGUCAAAACGUGUCUGCCUCAAAAAACGCGUCAACCAAAUAUGGACUAAUCCGUUGUGGUGGAUUCAUUUGGCCUGGGAAUUCACGGGGGCGAAUCUAGGCAGAGACCAAUGUGCUGGGGCAAGUUCAAAAGUAGUCGGGGCGAAUCUAAUAGAGAGGAAUCUGUCGGGGCGGAUUCAUUGAGCCUUCUGAAUUCGCCGAGGCGAAUUCACUGAACUUCCAAAUCUGCGAAUUUUAUUUUUCUGAUUUUCUUGACUUGUUAUAUGGCUUG